AUUGAACGCUGGCGGCAUGCCUUACACAUGCAAGUCGAACGGUAACGGGCCUUCGGGUGCCGACGAGUGGCGAACGGGUGAGUAAUGCAUCGGAACGUACCUUUCAGUGGGGGAUAACGUAGCGAAAGUUACGCUAAUACCGCAUAUUCUGUGAGCAGGAAAGCAGGGGAUCGCAAGACCUUGCGCUGAUUGAGCGGCCGAUGUCAGAUUAGCUAGUUGGUGAGGUAAAGGCUUACCAAGGCGACGAUCUGUAGCGGGUCUGAGAGGAUGAUCCGCCACACUGGAACUGAGACACGGUCCAGACUCCUACGGGAGGCAGCAGUGGGGAAUUUUGGACAAUGGGGGCAACCCUGAUCCAGCCAUGCCGCGUGAGUGAAGAAGGCCUCGGUUGUAAG
rnacentral:rRNA from 1 species